GAAACGACUGCUAAGACUGGAUAGGAGACAAGAAGGCAUCUUUUUGUUUUUAAAAGACCUAGCAAUAGGUAUGCUUAGGGAGGAGCUUGCGUCACAUUAGUUAGUUGGUGGGGUAAAGGCUUACCAAGACUAUGAUGUGUAGCCGGGCUGAGAGGUUGAACGGCCACAUUGGGACUGAGACACGGCCCAAACUCCUACGGGAGGCAGCAGUAGGGAAUCUUCGGCAAUGGAGGAAACUCUGACCGAGCAACGCCGCGUGAACGAUGAAGUAUUUCGGUACGUAAAGUUCUUUUAUUAGGGAAGAAUAAAUGAUGGAAAAAUCAUUCUGACGGUACCUAAUGAAUAAGCCCCGGCUAACUAUGUGCCAGCAGCCGCGGUAAUACAUAGGGGGCAAGCGUUAUCCGGAAUUAUUGGGCGUAAAGGGUGCGUAGGCGGUUAAAUAAGUUUAUGGUCUAAGUGCAAUGCUUAACAUUGUGAUGCUAUAAAAACUGUUUAGCUAGAGUAAGAUAGAGGCAAGUGGAAUUCCAUGUGUAGUGGUAAAAUGCGUAAAUAUAUGGAGGAACACCAGUAGUGAAGGCGGCUUGCUGGGUCUUUACUGACGCUGAGGCACGAAAGCGUGGGGAGCAAACAGGAUUAGAUACCCUGGUAGUCCACGCCGUAAACGAUGAGUACUAAAUGUUGGGUAAAACCAGUGUUGAAGUUAACACAUUAAGUACUCCGCCUGAGUAGUACGUACGCAAGUAUGAAACUUAAAGGAAUUGACGGGACUCCGCACAAGCGGUGGAUCAUGUUGUUUAAUUCGAAGGUACCCGAAAAACCUCACCAGGUCUUGACAUGCUUCUGCAAAGCUGUAGAAACACAGUGGAGGUUAUCAGUUGCACAGGUGGUGCAUGGUUGUCGUCAGCUCGUGUCGUGAGAUGUUGGGUUAAGUCCCGCAACGAGCGCAACCCUUAUUGUUAGUUGCCAGCACGUAAUGGUGGGGACUUUAGCAAGACUGCCAGUGAUAAAUUGGAGGAAGGUGGGGACGACGUCAAAUCAUCAUGCCCCUUAUGACCUGGGCUACAAACGUGAUACAAUGGCUGUUACAAAGGGUAGCUGAAACGUAAGUUUUUGGCGAAUCUCAAAAAAACAGUCUCAGUUCGGAUUGAAGUCUGCAACUCGACUUCAUGAAGUUGGAAUCGCUAGUAAUCGCGAAUCAGCAUGUCGCGGUGAAUACGUUCACGGGGUUUGUACACACCGCCCGUCA
rnacentral:rRNA from 1 species